CGGGGAUCGUGGCUUUGCCCUUGUACUGAUUCCAUUCCAUAAAUGGUUGAUUUUUGGAUGCCUAAAAUCUGUGGAGAUUUGGUUGGAACUAAAAAUUACUCUAAGGAAUAAUUCCUUUGCUCUUGAUGCUAUUAGCAGUAGUGGCUCUUUUGUUCCUUUGUUUGCUAGAAACCCCAACAAGGGAAGUCGCCCUCCCCCUCUGAACCUCCACCCACAGACCAAGAAUCCC
rnacentral:lncRNA from 1 species